AUUGAACACUGGCGGCAGGCCUAACACAUGCAAGUCGAGCGGAUGAAGGGAGCUUGCUCCUGGAUUCAGCGGCGGACGGGUGAGUAAUGCCUAGGAAUCUGCCUGGUAGUGGGGGAUAACGUCCGGAAACGGGCGCUAAUACCGCAUACGUCCUGAGGGAGAAAGUGGGGGAUCUUCGGACCUCACGCUAUCAGAUGAGCCUAGGUCGGAUUAGCUAGUUGGUGGGGUAAAGGCCUACCAAGGCGACGAUCCGUAACUGGUCUGAGAGGAUGAUCAGUCACACUGGAACUGAGACACGGUCCAGGCUCCUACGGGAGGCAGCAGUGGGGAAUGUUGGACAAUGGGCGAAAGCCUGAUCCAGCCAUGCCGCGUGUGUGAAGAAGGUCUUCGGAUUGUAAAGCACUUUAAGUUGGGAGGAAGGGCAGUAAGUUAAUACCUUGCUGUUUUGACGUUACCAACAGAAUAAGCACCGGCUAACUUCGUG
rnacentral:rRNA from 1 species